AUUCCUUCUUGGUCUUUUGGCUAAGAUCAAGUAUAUUAUCUGUUUUUAUCAGUUUACUAUCUGAUACAACCUCUACCAGAGGACAAUAGAUUAAAUAGAUUUUUGGAGCAAGGAGAUGUAAUAGGAACUUUCUCAUCUGUUCCAUGCAUCCACCUGGUAUUUCAGUACCUCCAGGAAUGGUGCACCUCAC
ensembl:snRNA U2 U2 spliceosomal RNA